GAGGGUGUAGCUCAGUGGCAGAGCACAUGGUUAGCAUGCGUGGGGUCCUGGGUUUAAUCUCCAGUACUUCCA
rnacentral:tRNA from 1 species